rnacentral:rRNA from 1 species
UACGGGGGGGGGCAAGCGUUGUUCGGAAUUACUGGGCGUAAAGGGCUCGUAGGCGGCCAACUAAGUCAGACGUGAAAUCCCUCGGCUUAACCGGGGAACUGCAUCUGAUACUGGAUGGCUUGAGAUUGGGAGAGGGAUGCGGAAUUCCAGGUGUAGCGGUGAAAUGCGUAGAUAUCUGGAGGAACACCGGUGGCGAAGGCGGCAUCCUGGACCAACACUGACGCUGAGGCACGAAAGCUAGGGGAGCAAACGGG